UGGCGGCGUGCCUAAUACAUGCAAGUCGAACGCACAGCGAAAGGUGCUUGCACCUUUCAAGUGAGUGGCGAACGGGUGAGUAACACGUGGACAACCUGCCUCAAGGCUGGGGAUAACAUUUGGAAACAGAUGCUAAUACCGAAUAAAACUUAGUGUCGCAUGACACAAAGUUAAAAGGCGCUUCGGCGUCACCUAGAGAUGGAUCCGCGGUGCAUUAGUUAGUUGGUGGGGUAAAGGCCUACCAAGACAAUGAUGCAUAGCCGAGUUGAGAGACUGAUCGGCCACAUUGGGACUGAGACACGGCCCAAACUCCUACGGGAGGCUGCAGUAGGGAAUCUUCCACAAUGGGCGAAAGCCUGAUGGAGCAACGCCGCGUGUGUGAUGAAGGCUUUCGGGUCGUAAAGCACUGUUGUAUGGGAAGAAUCAGCUAGAAUAGGAAAUUGAUUUUUAGUUUGACCGGUACCAUACCAGAAAGCGACCGGCUAAAUACCGUGCCAGCAGCCCGCCGUAAUACGUAUGUCCCGAGCCGUUAUCCCGGAUUUAUUGGGCGUAAAGCGAGCGCAGACGGUUUAUUUAAGUCUGAUGUGAAAGCCCGGGAGCUCAACUCCGGAAUGGCAUUGGAAACUGGUUAACUUGAGUGCAGUAGAGGUAAGUGGAACUCCAUGUGUAGCGGUGGAAUGCGUACAUAUAUGGAAGAACACCAGUGGCGAAGGCGGCUUACUGGACUGCAACUGACGUUGAGGCUCGAAAGUGUGGGUAGCAAACAGGAUUAGAUACCCUGGUAGUCCACACCGUAAACGAUGAACACUAGGUGUUAGGAGGUUUCCGCCUCUUAGUGCCGAAGCUAACGCAUUAAGUGUUCCGCCUGGGGAGUACGACCGCAAGGUUGAAACUCAAAGGAAUUGACGGGGACCCGCACAAGCGGUGGAGCAUGUGGUUUAAUUCGAAGCAACGCGAAGAACCUUACCAGGUCUUGACAUCCUUUGAAGCUUUUAGAGAUAGAAGUGUUCUCUUCGGAGACAAAGUGACAGGUGGUGCAUGGUCGUCGUCAGCUCGUGUCGUGAGAUGUUGGGUUAAGUCCCGCAACGAGCGCAACCCUUAUUGUUAGUUGCCAGCAUUCAGAUGGGCACUCUAGCGAGACUGCCGGUGACAAACCGGAGGAAGGCGGGGACGACGUCAGAUCAUCAUGCCCCUUAUGACCUGGGCUACACACGUGCUACAAUGGCGUAUACAACGAGUUGCCAGCCCGCGAGGGUGAGCUAAUCUCUUAAAGUACGUCUCAGUUCGGAUUGUAGUCUGCAACUCGACUACAUGAAGUCGGAAUCGCUAGUAAUCGCGGAUCAGCACGCCGCGGUGAAUACGUUCCCGGGUCUUGUACACACCGCCCGUCACACCAUGGGAGUUUGUAAUGCCCAAAGCCGGUGGCCUAACCUUUUAGGAAGGAGCCGUCUAAGGCAGGACAGAUG
rnacentral:rRNA from 1 species